CUGAUGUCGGAGCUUGGAGAAAUUCACUUGACUACAUUACCCAGCUCAGGCAGUCUGCAAUACUCAAAGAAUGUCCACGACUAAGAUGUUGAACCAGAUGGCCUACAUCCAGAACUGACGCAUGGAGUUCAAAACUACAUGGAUAAAGGCAGCUACGUUCGAUUCGGCUUAAGGUCACCAUAGUUAGCCCAGACAGCCCUCCGGCACUUUGUCAGAGGACAGAUCAUCUGAGAUGUGAUUGAGAGUCAUGAGGUAACCGCUGUGCAAAUAUUUGGCUCGGAUCUGACAAACCGCAAAAAGUUUGCCUUUUAAAGAGUGUGGCAUAUCAUUCCAACAAGAUGUGCAUUGCCCCAUCACCUUUGUCCAGCCACCUGGCAGAUUCCCUGCGGAGUAGUUGUGUGCUAACUUCUCGGGUUCCAUCACCAAUGAUGGCUUCCCCAAGGCUACAACUACAUACAGAAGAUGAUAGUCAACAUUCAGCUUGUGAUGUAAGA